CCUACGGGUGGCUGCAGUGAGGAAUAUUGGUCAAUGGACGGAAGUCUGAACCAGCCAUGCCGCGUGCAGGAAGACGGCCCUAUGAGUUGUAAACUGCUUUUGUACAAGGGUAAACCUGAAUACGUGUAUUCAGCUGAAAGUACUGUACGAAUAAGGAUCGGCUAACUCCGUGCCAGCAGCCGCGGUAAUACGGAGGAUCCAAGCGUUAUCCGGAUUUAUUGGGUUUAAAGGGUGCGUAGGCGGAUUGAUAAGUUAGAUGUGAAAUGUCCGAGCUUAACUCGGAAACUGCCUCUGAUACUGUUAGUCUAGAGAAUAGGUGAGGUAGGCGGAAUGUAUGGUGUAGCGGUGAAAUGCUUAGAGAUCAUGCAGAACACCGAUUGCGAAGGCAGCUUACCAAACUAUAUCUGACGUUGAGGCACGAAAGCGUGGGGAGCAAACAGGAUUAGAUACCCUGGUAGUC
rnacentral:rRNA from 1 species